AGAGGUCAUGGCUCAAUGGAAAAACAUUUGCUUGACAUGCAGAAAGUCCCAGGUUCAAUCCCUGGCAUCUUUA
rnacentral:tRNA from 1 species